rnacentral:lncRNA from 12 species
AUGGAUGCGUCAGUCUCCCUACCUCUUCAGAACUGGACUUUAGUCCUCUGUCCUGUUCUCCUUUUGCCCGCGGCCAGAUAGUCAAGGACCGGUGCCUGAUAACAGACCUCUGACCCGCUUGGGCUGUUGGAGCCCCAGGCCUUCACUUCCAUAGAAUGUUCUUCAGUUAGCAAAUGUAUUUGGCCACAAAGCCAGAUAAAAUCUCCACAUGCCUCUCAGCAAGUGCUUCAGUUCUGAAUGCCAUUAGCUAAUAUUUUUUAUUCCCAAACAUGAUUAAGAAUGUCAUGAGUUGCUGAGCAGAUUGAAGGCCAGGACAUCAGAGAAAGUCAGUGUCCAGGACGAGGGCCCUAACUGCCCCAUUGAAUAGACUUUCAGGUCAGAGGGUGUUCUCCAGACCCACUGUAACCACAGGAUGCCCGCAGCAUGGCCCUCUCAGGCUUACGGCUAACUUACCUGUCACUGGUAUACUCCAGGUGACACGCAAGGGGUGUGAUCGCCCAAGGCCAACAGUUUAUGUCUGUUUUAUAUUCACACAAUGUAAUUAAAGAUGCUAUAAAUCAAUAAAAGAUAAACAUGGAAAUGGCAUUGCUAUCUGCCAGAAAACUAAGUUUAGAGUUUUGUAAAACCAGAUCAAGGUGAGAUGCUGCUGAAUUAUAAGAGUGAAUAACAGUUGUCAGUUGGGGAUAAAUGGAAGGGUGUGCACUCAUGUUACUGAGCAGGUGCCUUUAAUUCCUUGCUCUACAUUAUAAACCUCAAUAUGGGUGUGGCAUGUGCAAGAAAGAAAAUGCAAACUUUGAAGAGGACUUCCACUGAAGGAUUGGCAAAUGAAUGUACAUUUUGUACACUCAAGUGAGAAUACUGUAGAUUAAACAUGUAUGUUAGUCUAUGUAUGGACUUUUUUCCUAUGACUGGGUGUUUAAAAUAUAAUUGUAAGGGACUGGAGAAUUUCUCACAGGAAAGCAUGUGCUGAAUUGGAAUCUCUGAGGGAAGAGGAAGACCUCUGCAAGGUUGCCUCUAUGACGAGGAAGCAGUCCUGACAGCAUCUUGCUCUCGAGUAGACUGGUUGUCUUGCAGGAGAGACUUGGGCUCCCCCAGGACGAGCAGCAAUUGGGCCAACGUUGGAUUGCCUGCUGGUCUUCUUCCCCAUCUCUUUUUGAGAUAUUUCCUUUGGGCUAUUCAGAGGCUUAUCUUGAUGACCAGCAAGAAUAUGCAACGGGACUCUUUUCACUUCCACUGUAGUCAACUCUCAUUCCAAUACAAACAUUUUCAUAUGGUACAAAUGAGACGGAAAACGAGCUGGUGAAAGAAGUCUGGGAGUGUCAACACCUUGCUCGCCGAGUUACUGCAGCCAACCACAGAGGACCUGUUGGGAGUGAUGGGACCAGCAGCGGCUUGAUGAAGGUG